UGGGGAAUUUUGGACAAUGGGCGAAAGCCUGAUCCAGCAAUGCCGCGUGUGUGAAGAAGGCCUUCGGGUUGUAAAGCACUUUUGUCCGGAAAGAAAUCCUCUGGGUUAAUACCUCGGGGGGUAUGACGGUACCGGAAGAAUAAGCACCGGCUAACUACGUGCCAGCAGCCGCGGUAAUACGUAGGGUGCAAGCGUUAAUCGGAAUUACUGGGCGUAAAGCGUGCGCAGGCGGUUUUGUAAGACGGAUGUGAAAUCCCCGGGCUUAACCUGGGAACUGCAUUCGUGACUGCAAGGCUAGAGUAUGGCAGAGGGGGGUUAGAAUUCCACGUGUAGCAGUGAAAUGCGUAGAGAUGUGGAGGAAUACCGAUGGCGAAGGCAGCCCCCUGGGCCAAUACUGACGCUCAUGCACGAAAGCGUGGGGGAGCAAACAGGAUUAGAUACCCUGGUAGUCCACGCCCUAAACGAUGUCAACUAGUUGUUGGGGAUUCAUUUCCUUAGUAACGUAGCUAACGCGUGAAGUUGACCGCCU
rnacentral:rRNA from 1 species